rnacentral:rRNA from 1 species
GGGAAUUGCAGGGCGAACUGGUAUUCUUGAGGCAAGUAGGGGUGCAUGGAACUCUUGGUGGAGCGGUGGAAUGCGUAGAUAUCAAGAGGAACGCCGAUGGUGAAGACAGUGCACUGGGCUUGUCCUGACGCUGAGGUGCGAAAGCGUGGGGAGCGAACGGGAUUGGAUACCCCGGUAGUCCACGCCGUAAACGAUGCCUACUAGGUCGUGGUUGUUCUGACACACUCACGGCCGAAGCAAAAGUGUUUAGUAGGCCGCCUGGGGAGUACGGUCGCAAGGCUAAAACUCAAAGGAAUUGACGGGGGCUCACACAAGCGGUGGAGCAUGUGGAUUAAUUCGAAGCAACGCGCAGAACCUUACCUGGGUUUGACAUGUAUGGAUGCCUGCUGUGAAAGCAGUUAGGUUGCCUUCGGGUGAAACUUACACAGGUGCUGCAUGGCUGUCGUCAGCUCGUGUCGUGAGAUGUCGGGUUAAGUCCUUUAACGAGCGAAACCCUUGCCGUUAGUUGCCAGCGGGUCAUGCCGGGGACUCUAACGGGACUGCCGGUGUCAAACCGGAGGAAGGUGGGGAUGACGUCAAGUCCUCAUGGCCUUUAUGCCCAGGGCCUCACACGUGCUACAAUGGGUGCUACAGAGCGACGCGAGACCGCGAGGUGGAGCUAAUCGCAAAAAAGCAUCCUCAGUUCGGAUUGCAGGCUGGCAAUUCGCCUGCAUGAAGUUG